AUUGAACGCUGGCGGCAGGCCUAACACAUGCAAGUCGAACGAGUGGCGGACGGGUGAGUAAUGUCUGGGAAACUGCCCGAUGGAGGGGGAUAACUACUGGAACCGGUAGCUAAUACCGCAUACCAUCGGAUGUGCCCAGAUGGGAUUAGCUAGUCGGGGGGGUAACGGCUCACCUAGGCGAAGAUCCCUAGCUGGUAUGAGAGGAUGACCAGCCACACUGGAACGGAGACACGGUCCAGACUCCUACGGUAGGCAGCAGUGGGGAAUAUUGAACAAUGGGGGCAAGCCUGAUGCAGCCAUGCCGCGUGUAUGAAGAAGGCCUUCGGGUUGUAAAGUACUUUCAGCGAGGAGGCGUUACUCGCAGAAGAAGCACCGGCUAACUCCGUGCCAGCAGCCGCGGUAAUAC
rnacentral:rRNA from 1 species